AAACCGUGUACGUACAAGCAGUGGGAGCCUCUUUAUGGGGUGACUGCGUACCUUUUGUAUAAUGGGUCAGCGACUUAUAUUCUGUAGCAAGGUUAACCGAAUAGGGGAGCCGAAGGGAAACCGAGUCUUAACUGGGCGUUAAGUUGCAGGGUAUAGACCCGAAACCCGGUGAUCUAGCCAUGGGCAGGUUGAAGGUUGGGUAACACUAACUGGAGGACCGAACCGACUAAUGUUGAAAAAUUAGCGGAUGACUUGUGGCUGGGGGUGAAAGGCCAAUCAAACCGGGAGAUAGCUGGUUCUCCCCGAAAGCUAUUUAGGUAGCGCCUCGUGAAUUCAUCUCCGGGGGUAGAGCACUGUUUCGGCAAGGGGGUCAUCCCGACUUACCAACCCGAUGCAAACUGCGAAUACCGGAGAAUGUUAUCACGGGAGACACACGGCGGGUGCUAACGUCCGUCGUGAAGAGGGAAACAACCCAGACCGCCAGCUAAGGUCCCAAAGUCAUGGUUAAGUGGGAAACGAUGUGGGAAGGCCCAGACAGCCAGGAUGUUGGCUUAGAAGCAGCCAUCAUUUAAAGAAAGCGUAAUAGCUCACUGGUCGAGUCGGCCUGCGCGGAAGAUGUAACGGGGCUAAACCAUGCACCGAAGCUGCGGCAGCGACACUAUGUGUUGUUGGGUAGGGGAGCGUUCUGUAAGCCUGUGAAGGUGGCCUGUGAGGGUUGCUGGAGGUAUCAGAAGUGCGAAUGCUGACAUAAGUAACGAUAAAGCGGGUGAAAAGCCCGCUCGCCGGAAGACCAAGGGUUCCUGUCCAACGUUAAUCGGGGCAGGGUGAGUCGACCCCUAAGGCGAGGCCGAAAGGCGUAGUCGAUGGGAAACAGGUUAAUAUUCCUGUACUUGGUGUUACUGCGAAGGGGGGACGGAGAAGGCUAUGUUGGCCGGGCGACGGUUGUCCCGGUUUAAGCGUGUAGGCUGGUUUUCCAGGCAAAUCCGGAAAACCAAGGCUGAGGCGUGAUGACGAGGCACUACGGUGCUGAAGCGACAAAUGCCCUGCUUCCAGGAAAAGCCUCUAAGCAUCAGGUAACAUCAAAUCGUACCCCAAACCGACACAGGUGGUCAGGUAGAGAAUACCAAGGCGCUUGAGAGAACUCGGGUGAAGGAACUAGGCAAAAUGGUGCCGUAACUUCGGGAGAAGGCACGCUGAUAUGUAGGUGAAGCGACUUGCUCGUGGAGCUGAAAUCAGUCGAAGAUACCAGCUGGCUGCAACUGUUUAUUAAAAACACAGCACUGUGCAAACACGAAAGUGGACGUAUACGGUGUGACGCCUGCCCGGUGCCGGAAGGUUAAUUGAUGGGGUUAGCGGUAACGCGAAGCUCUUGAUCGAAGCCCCGGUAAACGGCGGCCGUAACUAUAACGGUCCUAAGGUAGCGAAAUUCCUUGUCGGGUAAGUUCCGACCUGCACGAAUGGCGUAAUGAUGGCCAGGCUGUCUCCACCCGAGACUCAGUGAAAUUGAACUCGCUGUGAAGAUGCAGUGUACCCGCGGCAAGACGGAAAGACCCCGUGAACCUUUACUAUAGCUUGACACUGAACAUUGAGCCUUGAUGUGUAGGAUAGGUGGGAGGCUUUGAAGUGUGGACGCCAGUCUGCAUGGAGCCGACCUUGAAAUACCACCCUUUAAUGUUUGAUGUUCUAACGUUGGCCCGUAAUCCGGGUUGCGGACAGUGUCUGGUGGGUAGUUUGACUGGGGCGGUCUCCUCCUAAAGAGUAACGGAGGAGCACGAAGGUUGGCUAAUCCUGGUCGGACAUCAGGAGGUUAGUGCAAUGGCAUAAGCCAGCUUGACUGCGAGCGUGACGGCGCGAGCAGGUGCGAAAGCAGGUCAUAGUGAUCCGGUGGUUCUGAAUGGAAGGGCCAUCGCUCAACGGAUAAAAGGUACUCCGGGGAUAACAGGCUGAUACCGCCCAAGAGUUCAUAUCGACGGCGGUGUUUGGCACCUCGAUGUCGGCUCAUCACAUCCUGGGGCUGAAGUAGGUCCCAAGGGUAUGGCUGUUCGCCAUUUAAAGUGGUACGCGAGCUGGGUUUAGAACGUCGUGAGACAGUUCGGUCCCUAUCUGCCGUGGGCGCUGGAGAACUGAGGGGGGCUGCUCCUAGUACGAGAGGACCGGAGUGGACGCAUCACUGGUGUUCGGGUUGUCAUGCCAAUGGCACUGCCCGGUAGCUAAAUGCGGAAGAGAUAAGUGCUGAAAGCAUCUAAGCACGAAACUUGCCCCGAGAUGAGUUCUCCCUGACUCCUUGAGAGUCCUGAAGGAACGUUGAAGACGACGACGUUGAUAGGCCGGGUGUGUAAGCGCAGCGAUGCGUUGAGCUAACCGGUACUAAUGAACCGUGAGGCUUAACCUU
rnacentral:rRNA from 1 species